rnacentral:tRNA from 1 species
CGGGGUGUAGCGCAGUUUGGUAGCGCGCUGCAUUUGGGAUGCAGAGGUCCAAGGUUCAAAUCCUUGUACCCCGA